CAAGGAAUUUUCCGCAAUGGGGGCAACCCUGACGGAGCGACGCCGCGUGAGGGAUGACGGCCUUCGGGUUGUAAACCUCUUUCAGUAUCGACGAAGCGCAAGUGACGGUAGAUACAGAAGAAGGACCGGCCAACUACGUGCCAGCAGCCGCGGUAAUACGUAGGGUCCGAGCGUUGUCCGGAAUUACUGGGCGUAAAGAGCUCGUAGGUGGUUUGUCGCGUUGUUCGUGAAAACUCACAGCUCAACUGUGGGCGUGCGGGCGAUACGGGCAGACUGGAGUACUGCAGGGGAGACUGGAAUUCCUGGUGUAGCGGUGGAAUGCGCAGAUAUCAGGAGGAACACCGGUGGCGAAGGCGGGUCUCUGGGCAGUAACUGACGCUGAGGAGCGAAAGCGUGGGGAGCGAACAG
rnacentral:rRNA from 1 species